UCCGGUUUGUCACCGGCAGUCUCGCAUGAGUCCCCAACUAAAUGCUGGCGUCCUGUGCAUGUCAAACCCAGGUAAGGUUCUUCGCGUUGCAUCGAAUUAAUCCACAUGCUCCGCCGCUUGUGCGGGCCCCCGUCAAUUUCUUUGAGUUUUAGCCUUGCGGCCGUACUCCCCAGGCGGGGUACUUAAUGCGUUAGCUACGGCACGGAUCCCAAGGAAGGAAACCCACACCUAGUACCCACCGUUUACGGCGUGGACUAC
rnacentral:misc_RNA from 1 species